GUUACUUCCGUGGCAGAGGCUAUUCAACGGUCAAGGGCUGGUCUCUCCGACCCGAACCGUCCAAUUGCUAGUUUCAUGUUCAUGGGCCCCACGGGAGUUGGCAAGACAGAGCUGGCCAAGGCUCUUGCUUCUUAUUUGUUCAACACCGAGGAAGCACUUGUCAGAAUUGACAUGAGCGAGUACAUGGAAAAGCAUGCAGUUUCGAGAUUGAUAGGUGCGCCGCCGGGUUACGUUGGAUAUGAAGAGGGCGGGC
rnacentral:misc_RNA from 1 species